rnacentral:rRNA from 1 species
AGAGUUUGAUCCUGGCUCAGAAUCAACGCUGGCGGCGUGCCUAACACAUGCAAGUCGAACGCGAAAGCCCGCAAGGGUAAGUAGAGUGGCGCACGGGUGAGUAACACGUGGACAACCUGCCUUCGAGUGGGGAAUAACCUUCCGAAAGGGGGGCUAAUACCGCAUAAAACCUCGGAACACAAGUUCUGGGGUUGAAAAGAGCAAUUUGCUCGAAGAGGGGUCCGCGCCUGAUUAGCUAGUUGGUGAGGUAACGGCUCACCAAGGCUUCGAUCAGUAGCCGUCCUGAGAGGGAGCACGGCCACACUGGAACUGAGACACGGUCCAGACUCCUACGGGAGGCAGCAGUGGGGAAUUUUUGGCAAUGGGCGAAAGCCUGACCAAGCAACGCCGCGUGGGUGAUGAAGUAUCUUGGUACGUAAAACCCUUUCGGCAGGGACGAACCUAAUGACGGUACCUGCGAAGAGACC